rnacentral:rRNA from 1 species
AGCAGUCGCCGCGGGAAUACGUAGGUGGCAAGCGUUGUCCGGAAUUAUUGGGCGUAAAGGGCUCGCAGGCGGUUUCUUAAGUCUGAUGUGAAAGCCCCCGGCUCAACCGGGGAGGGUCAUUGGAAACUGGGAAACUUGAGUGCAGAAGAGGAGAGUGGAAUUCCACGUGUAGCGGUGAAAUGCGUAGAGAUGUGGAGGAACACCAGUGGCGAAGGCGACUCUCUGGUCUGUAACUGACGCUGAGGAGCGAAAGUGUGGGGAGCGAACAGGAUUAGAUACCCGUGUAGUCCCUGUCUCUUAUAC